GUAACCUGAAUAUCAAGUUCAAUAGAAGCUUCACAGAAGAAUAUCUGUAGGAUCAAAAUCCAGUGAUGCUAGAUACCCGAGAUAGUAUUCAUCUACAUUUUGGUCUAAAAGCAGGAAGAGGACACUCCACAGUUGGAAGUACGACCUUGGCUAGUAGUCAUAAAUAAACUCUAGUGAUUAAUGUAUCGACGCAUGCGGUGCAUUACCUGUUUCCAAAUCUGAGGAAGUGCUAUCUAUUCUAAGCUUUGCCAAGAACCACUUUGUCAGAUUAUGUUGUCUUUGAAUAAUGCUACCUGGCAAGAAGCUGUAGGCACAUGCAGAGGAGUAUAUACCUGCAGGUACCAAUUGUAUCAACUUGGCCUUACACCAACCAAUUUUUCAAUUUUGAAGGGACAAAUUGAAACAUCAAAGUCCAUAGACAUUAGUUAAAAAA
rnacentral:lncRNA from 1 species